GACGAACGCUGGCGGCGUGCUUAACACAUGCAAGUCGAACGGAAAGGCCCUGCUUUUGUGGGGUGCUCGAGUGGCGAACGGGUGAGUAACACGUGAGUAACCUGCCCUUGACUUUGGGAAAACUUCAGGAAACUGGGGCAAAUACCGGAUAGGAGCUCCUGCUGAAUGGUGGGGGUUGGAAAGUUUCGGCGGUUGGGGAUGGACUCGCGGCUUAUCAGCUUGUUGGUGGGGUAGUGGCUUACCAAGGCUUUGACGGGUAGCCGGCCUGAGAGGGUGACCGGCCACAUUGGGACUGGAAUACGGCCCAGACUCCUACGGGAGGCAGCAGUGGGGAAUAUUGCACAAUGGGCGGAAGCCUGAUGCAGCAACGCCGCGUGCGGGAUGACGGCCUUCGGGUUGUAAACCGCUUUCGCCUGUGACGAAGCGUGAGUGACGGUAAUGGGUAAAGAAGCACCGGCUAACUACGUG
rnacentral:rRNA from 1 species